rnacentral:rRNA from 1 species
UACAGAGACUGCAAGCGUUGUUCGGAUUCAUUGGGCGUAAAGGGUGCGUAGGCGGUGAGGUAAGUUGGAUGUGAAAUCUCAGGGCCUAACCCUGAAAGUGCAUCCAAAACUGCCUUGCUCGAGGACUGGAGGGGAGACUGGAAUUCCGGGUGUAGCGGUGGAAUGCGUAGAGAUCCGGAAGAACACCGGUGGCGAAGGCGGUCUGCUGGGCAGUAGCUGACGCUGAGGCGCGACAGCGUGGGGAGCAAACAGG